UGGGGAAUAUUGGACAAUGGGCGAAAGCCUGAUCCAGCCAUGCCGCGUGUGUGAAGAAGGACUUAUGGUUGUAAAGCACUUUAAGCGAGGAGGAGGGUACUGGUAUUAAUACUACCAGGUACUGGACGUUACUCGCAGAAUAAGCACCGGCUAACUCUGUGCCAGCAGCCGCGGUAAUACAGAGGGUGCGAGCGUUAAUCGGAUUUACUGGGCGUAAAGCGUGCGUAGGCGGCUAAUUGAGUCGGAUGUGAAAUCCCCGAGCUUAACUUGGGAAUUGCAUUCGAUACUGGUUAGCUAGAGUGUGGGAGAGGAUGGUAGAAUUCCAGGUGUAGCGGUGAAAUGCGUAGAGAUCUGGAGGAAUACCGAUGGCGAAGGCAGCCAUCUGGCCUAACACUGACGCUGAGGUACGAAAGCAUGGGGAGCAAACAGG
rnacentral:rRNA from 1 species